AUGAUAUGAUGAGGGCACUUCCUAAGCAUCUCCUAGAAUCCUUCCGAGCUCUCAUAAAUUGAAUCUCCAUAAAAUUAGAAAAAAUAAAGUAAUAUCAUUCCUAAUCUU